GGAGGAGGACAAUGAGGUCUUCGCGCUUUGGAACCUAGGGGGAAAAAGGCGGGAAAAGGGAUGCAGUGGAAAAGGCAAGAGAGCUGGAAGUGGAGCCUGAAGAUCUGACUGAAUUGCUAUAAUCUCGAGAUAAAACUAAUGCAUGAAGAGUCUUUUAUUCCAGAUUCCACAAACAAGGAAACAAAGACUAACAGUGUUAGUCUUUCUCUGACUUACUUUACUUAGCAGAAUACCCUCAACUUCCUGCCGUCCAUGUUGUCACAGACAGCAAGAUGUCCUUUAUUAUGUAAAGUCCAUACAUUUUUUUAGACCUAAUGUUAUUGCACACCUAAUAGGCUUCAGCACAGUAUAAAUAUAACUUUUACAUGCACUGGGAAAUCAGAAAAAUCUGUGUGACUCACUUUAUUUCGAGAUUCUGGAACCAAAGGUGUGUCUCUCCAAGGUAUGCCUGUACUUGAUAUUAAGAAACAUCACGUUAUGCUCAGUUUUAAAAGUGCUUUGCACACACAAAAAAGUGCUUCAUAGCCCCCAGUAUACAGACACGUUUAAAGAAAAACAUGUUAAAUUUAUUGGAGUUCAAACGGCAAGAUGAUGGUGGAAGCCACAGUUGCUCUGCUUCA
ensembl:lncRNA